rnacentral:rRNA from 1 species
GGGGGGGGGGGGGGGGGGGCCGGGGAGGUGCGGGGCGAGCGGACGGGCGGGAAGCUUGCGUCGCUGAGGUUAGCGGCGGGCGGGGGGGUAACACGUGGAUAACCUACCUAUGAGCCUGGGAUCACUUCGGGAACCCGGAGCUAAUACCGGAUAAUAUUUUGAACCGCAUGGUUCAAAAGUGAAGGACGGUCUUGCUGUCCCCUCUCGAUGGAUCCGCGCUGCAUUAGCUAGUUGGUAAGGUAACGGCUUACCAAGGCAACGAUGCAUAGCCGACCUGAGAGGGUGAUCGGCCACACGGGAACUGAGACACGGUCCAGACUCCUACGGGAGGCAGCAGUAGGGAAUCUUCCGCAAUGGGCGAAAGCCUGACGGAGCAACGCCGCGUGAGUGAUGAAGGUCUUCGGAUCGUAAAACUCUGUUAUUAGGGAAGAACAUAUGUGUAAGUAACUGUGCACAUCUUGACGGUACCUAAUCAGAAAGCCACGGCUAACUACGUG